rnacentral:rRNA from 1 species
AUGAAUGCUAGUGGCGUGCCUGAGAUAUGCAAGUCGAGCGAAGUUUCAUGAAGCCGCAAGGCCGAUUGAAAUUCAGCGGCGGACGGCUGAGUAACACGUAGGGAUCUGCCCCUUUCUGAGGAAUAGCCCCGCGAAAGCGGGGAUAAUACUUCAUAGUUUCCCCCUUAAAAGGGAAUAAAGGCCUUUACCGGACGGAAAGGGAUGAACCUGCGGCCUAUCAGGUAGUUGGUGAGGUAACGGCUCACCAAGCCAAUAACGGGUAGCUGGUCUGAGAGGAUGGUCAGCCAGAGGGGGACUGAGACACGGCCCCCACUCCUACGGGAGGCAGCAAUCAAGGAAUAGUCGGCAAUGGACGAAAGUCUGACCGCGCGACGCCAUGUGUGGGAUUAAGCUAUUAUUAGUGUAAACCACUGUGGUAGAGGAAGAAGAUCCGCAAGGAUUUGACGGUACUCUACUAGAAAGGAGCCGCUAACUGCGUGCCAGAAGCGUCGGUAAUACGUGGGCUCCGAGCAUUAUCCGGUAUCAUUGGGCGUAAAGGGUCGUGUAGGCGGCUAGAUAAGUUAUCUCUUAAAUUUCACCGCUCAACGGGGAAGGUGGAGAUAAUACUGUUUAGCUAGAGUUUUCUUUAGGGUAAAUGGAACUGAAGGAGGAGUAGUGAAAUGCGUUGAUACCUUCGGGAACACCAGUGGCGAAGGCGAUUUACUGGAAGAAGACUGACGCUGAGACACGAAAGCUAGGGGAGCGAAGCAGAUUAGAGACCUGCGUAGUCCUAGCCCUAAACGAAUGUCUGCUAGCUGCAUGAUUUUCUCAAAUUUAUUGAGAUCUUCGUGUGGCGAAGGUAACCCGUUAAGCAGACCGCCUGGGGAGUACGGUCGCAAGGCUAAAACUCAAAGGAAUUGGCGGGGAGGCACACAACCAGUGGAACAUGUGGUUUAAUUCGAUACGAAACGAGAACCUCACCAAGGCUUGACAUCUUAGUGUAAUCCUGAUGAAAGUUAGGACCUCCGCAAGGACACUAGGACAGGUGCUGCAUGGCUGUCGUCAGUUCGUUCCGUGAGGAGUGCCCUUAAGUGGGACAACGAACGCAACCCCCAUCUAGUGUUAAAAAUGUCACUAGAGACUGCUCCGCUUUAGCGGGGGAGGAAGGAGGGGCAGACGUCAAGUCAGCAUGGUCCUUAUGCCUUGGGCACACACAUGUUACAAUGGAUAGUACAAUGGGCAUUGCCAACUCGCAAGAGUGAGCGAAUCCCAUAAACUAUUCUCAGUUGGGAUUGAGGUCUGAAACCCGACCUCAUGACUCGAAUUGGUAGUAAUCGCGGAUCAGCUAUGCCGCGGUGAAUACGUUCUUGCCUCUUGCACACACCGCCCGUCAAGCCAACAAAGUCGGAAAUAUUUGAAUCUCGAUUUAUCGGGAGAGGAUAUAUUCGGCGAUGAGGGUU